ACAGAGAAUUUACAUAAUUGUGACACUGAAGUGAUGAAUGCAUACUUAAUUAAGUCAAUGCAUAUAACCUUGAGAUGGAAGAAGUUUCCCUUUGUACUUGCCUUUGCAUUUUGAUGUGACUGCUUGCACCCCAGAGCACUCUGCAUAAAGCUGUUACCUCGACCACAACCACAGACUCAACUCUUCUCCUUUACAGAGUCAACUUGUUCCUGAAGAUCUCAAUCUAAACAGUCAUGGAAGCCACCCUGACAGCCAGUGAGUGCCAGGUAGAGGAACAGAAAGACCUACUGCUUUCACUGAGAGCUACAGUGGAGAAACAGAGUUCUGCACUCCAAGAGCUGAGAGCCACCGUGGAGGAACUGAAGAGAGAGAACAGAGAGAGACCGAAGGUAGCCUUCUCAGCUUCACUGUCUGAAACCAAAGGACCAUUCAAUACUGACAUCACCCUGGUCUACAAGCAUGUCUUCACCAACAUUGGCAAUGCUUACAGUCCGAUGACUGGCAUCUUAAGGCGCCGGUGAGUGGAAUCUACUACUUCAGAUUCACUGCCUUUGGAAUGACCUCCAAACAUAGAAGAGUGUCCCUGUACAAAGGAGGACAACUUAUGGUGACUGUGACUGACCGUAGCACACCACAUGAUGGAGAAGACAGUGGAUCCAAUGGUGUCACCCUGCAGCUGGUAGAAGGUGAAGAGGUCUACACACGUCUUAUAGCAGAACAUCAAGUCUAUGAUGACGCGGCUCACCACACCACCUUCACUGGAUUCCUGAUCUCCGCUUAGGAAGCAGAGUAACAGUUGUUAGCAAAAACUAGCAUUUCAUUACAAAGUCAAAUUUCAGCUUUUUUUUUUCAGUAAAAUUGUUAAUGAAUAGAUGUUAAACAGUUCCAGUGAUUUUACAUUCUCUAAACUAAAAUUGAAAAACAUUGAAACUAGGUUUAGAUAACAAUGUGAAAAUCCUUUACAAAGUUUUUGAUUUGCUACUGAAAUACAUCGACUGUGGUGUUUUAUGCGAUGCUUAAGACAUUGAGUUGUAUGUUUGAUUUAAAAUAAAAUAAGAUACACAUUGAA